UGUAAAGUGUUAGGAAAUGUG
rnacentral:piRNA from 1 species